rnacentral:rRNA from 1 species
UGCUCCUCGGGUGACGAGUGGCGGACGGGUGAGUAAUGUCUGGGGAUCUGCCCGAUGGAGGGGGAUAACCACUGGAAACGGUGGCUAAUACCGCAUAACGUCGCAAGACCAAAGUGGGGGACCUUCGGGCCUCACACCAUCGGAUGAACCCAGAUGGGAUUAGCUAGUAGGUGGGGUAACGGCUCACCUAGGCGACGAUCCCUAGCUGGUCUGAGAGGAUGACCAGCCACACUGGAACUGAGACACGGUCCAGACUCCUACGGGAGGCAGCAGUGGGGAAUAUUGCACAAUGGGCGCAAGCCUGAUGCAGCCAUGCCGCGUGUAUGAAGAAGGCCUUCGGGUUGUAAAGUACUUUCAGCGGGGAGGAAGGGGACGAGGUUAAUAACCUCGUUCAUUGACGUUACCCGCAGAAGAAGCACCGGCUAACUCCGUGCCAGCAGCCGCGGU